rnacentral:lncRNA from 10 species
GCGCGGUCUGCCUCCCGCGGCGGGCCGGGUCUCCAGGGAGGACCUGAGUUUUCUUCACCCAUGGUCAGGGAAGCGCCAUCGCCCUGGCUUUGAGGCUGGGGCCUCCGGGGAGGUUCCGGUAGGGGCUUUGAAGAGGCCGCUGUUUUUGCAAGGCCGAGACGGCGGGCCCUGCGCAGGCCGCCCUAUUCCGCGCCCUCAGGGCGUCAGUAUCCGCCUGAGGCCGGAUACCCCCUCUGGGCCCGGAUGCCCCCGCUGGCCCCGGAGCAUCCUCGGCGCUGCCCUCCCAGAGCCCCGCAGAGGCUGAGGUGGCGCGGGGGCGGCCCCGGCUCCGCGAGAAGCGGCGGCAGCGAGGGCUGGAGGACCCGGGCUACGGGGCUCCGGGGCGUCUGGCCUGGUUGGGACUGAGCCCAUCCAGGGACUGGGACUCUGGGAUUCUGGUGUAGGUGGAUCCGGGGCAGGCUCAGGACCAAGUCCCUCUCCUUCCACCAAGGAGCGCCCAGAGGCCGGCGGGAGCUCCAGGUUCACCUCCUCCUCCUCCAGGAAAUCUCACUUCCAACUGGAUGUCUGGAUGAACUACUGAAAGCUGCUGAGUGUCCUGCAGCAGCUUGACUACCACACAAAUGAAUCCACUCAAAUGUUGGCAAGUGGAGCAGAGUCCCAGGACAGGUACAGAAACACCCCCAGUUCAAGGAUCUUCACACCUGGAUUUAGGCCUACUCCUGCAACUACCCCAGAACCUGGAAUUUAUAUGUUCAACAUGGAGCCAUCCCAGCCAUGACAACAGAGAAUGUACCACUCUCACGUGAGUAAGAGGGGUAGGCAGUGCUCCUGUAUCACCAGCCCUUAAUGAGACCCUGAGGAAACCACAUCAUGGAGAUCAGCCCUUCUCUCCUAGUUACUAUGAAUUAUUAUAUUGUGGCUACUUACACCAAGAUGAAGAUAAUUUAUUAGUUCAGGAAGAACCUGCAUUCUGAAGGCAAAUGGAAGUUCCAGCUACAGAUGGGCAGACACAUGCCCCCUCAAUUCCUGAUGGACCUCCUUGUGCCUCAUGGACCUAAGGGGCCUCCCUCAAUGUUUCAAGAUGCCACCAAGGCAGGGAUCAGCUAGUGCAUUCCUGAGAACAUCCAGGAUGAAUUGAGGCUCUGGAAAAAUGCAAGAGUUUCCACAUAAUCCCAAAAAACCCUACAGGUGAACUGGAUGCCACAGAAAGAGGAGUGGUCUUUGUCACAACAAAAUCAACAAAAUUAUUUCGAAGUCAAUUAGGAAACUCAGAAAUCACUCUUGCUGCCAUUAAGAGGAAGAACAGCAGCCUGUGAAUGGCAUCCCUGGCCUUCCCGAGACUCCACAGAUAUUUCUAUGUGGCUUCAGACACCAGAAAUCUCUGUGAUUUUCAGAAAGGCAGGGACAGCUCAUGCAAGCCCAUCCCUCUGCAGAAUGUGUCCCAGCAGAUCAGUGGCAUGGAACCAUCAUGGACAGCACAGAGGCUCAAGGGCAGCAUCCCAGGUGGGCCUGUGACUCUAGAUAAGUUCUGAGUCCCCAUGGGGGAUCAGGAAAGGUUAGUGAUGACCUGGAAAGAAGGGACAGGUGGAAACCGCCCCUAAGCAAUCUGCAGGAUUCCAACUUCAGCAGGAAACCAAGGACCAGCUCGUACCACACCUGCGCCCCCUGAAAACUGGAUACAAUCCCAUUCUGCAGAAAGUUCCACGUAGAAGUGGCUGGGAAUUUUGCAUUCUAGAAUGAAUUUUACAGUGCCUCUGGACAUGUGAUGAGAAAGUUAACAUUGGUGUAUCUAAGUGACAUUUUCCACGAAGUGAUUUUUUAAGCUGUUUUAAAACAGACAAAAUAUAAUUAAAACAUAUGUAUUAUAUGUCAAAGUAUGGUUCGCUGGAAUCAAGUAGACUCACCUUGAGAUACAAUCUUGGACAACCUCCAUAUUCAGAAUAUCUACUUUUUCAAACCGAAACUCUCCAACCAAAAAUCAAUAACAUCAAAAGUUUGCAACUACAAGCCAACGGAAAAUAAAUACAUGAAUUCUACCAAAGUGAAUUGGACUGCUUUGGGAAACACAGAUGAAGAAAGUCAACACCGCUUUGUCUUUCAGUGCCUGGCUCCCUUUUCAGCUCGUCUUGCGACACCAGACAUUAUACCUGAAAAGUCUCCCGGACGCCUGUGAGGCUCUAAUUCCCUGGGUCCUAUUGUCAUUUCUCUGGAUUUGCAAAGAUCCACCUCACCUUCUGUGGAACCCCCAUGUCGGUGAACUUUUGGGCCACGGCCCCUAAUUCUGCCCAUAGUCAUCUGGAACUGCACGAGUUAGGGUCCAUGUUCCUUGGACGGGAAGAGACAGGCAGGAGUCGGAAUGAUGAACCAGCACACUGGGGCAUUUUCUCAUGUAGCCCAAGUGACCCCAUGGUCUUCUCGAGCUUUGGAACCAGUCGCGUCCCCCUUGACACUGCACCCGACUCCCAGUUUCUCAAUCUUGUUGGCCCUCCGGCGAUCUCCCUUUGGAUGAAUUGCACCUGCUGAAACUCGAGUCCCCUUUGAUUUGCGCUUCAUUAAUUAUUCAUGAUUCAGUUUGGAAGGCCUGCUUACGACUCCCUGUGGCCGUUCUCUGAGCUUUCCGGUCACAUCGUUUCCUUCCACGCUCUUUGGUUCAUUGUGGUCCUGCUGCUUCUGCUGUCAGAGGAGCAGAGAGUAGAUCUUAUUGAUUCUGGAUACGGAUACUUUCUAGGUGAUCUGGAUAAUCAAGAUAACGACCCUCAACAGCGGCGGAAAGGGAGCAGCCAUUCAGUGUGUCUCAGAAAAUACCGCUCAGUUCCGAGGCCUCCUAGAUGUGGAAUCCUGCUCAGAGUUGUUCCCAGGUCAGAGAAUAGAGAGAGUCUGUGCAUGAUGAGAUAUCCCUGCCUAGAUCUUUCAGUGAGUCUCUACCUCAGCUACUCUUAGGAUCAGUGGGAGAACCAUGGAAAGGCCCGGUGUCAGACAUCCGGAAAGAAGAUGGGAUGAAUGUUUUACCUCUGAAGUACAUCCCAAAUCUGGGAGUUAACUACAGCUUUGCUGGGGACUAUUUGGUCAGUGAAACUCUGCCUGGUUCAUUCGCACAUCCGGAAGCCACUUCACGGGGGGCCGUCGCAACCGGAACCACACACUUGGCAUAGGCGGUUGAGCCAAAUGGGGACUCGCGGUGCAAGCAACGCUCCCCACGUGUUAGCGUGCGUGAGAUUCAGUUGGCGGAAUUUUACUAGGUGCGUGUUGGUAGAGUGGGGCUGAGGUUCUCUUUCUCCUGUGGAUGUAUACGAAGUCAAAGGUCCUGCCCAGCCGUGCGGUCCCCUCAGUCAACUCUGUUUCGGAGACAUAACGAUUUGGAUUGCUAACAAGUCAAGAAAUGUUCAAGCCCUUGGAUGUAGGGAAAAGAAAGAGAGAUCAGACUGUCACUGUGUCUAUGUCGAAAGGGAAGACAUAAGAGACUCCAUUUUGGAAAAGACCUGUACUUUAAACAAUUGCUUUGCUGAGAUGUUGUUCAUUUGUAGCUUUGCCCCAGGCACUUUGCCCCAGCCGCUUUGACCCAACUUGGAGCUCACAAAAACCUGUGUUGUAUAAAAUCAAGGCUUAAGGGAUCUAGGGCUGUGCAGGACGUGCCUUGUUAACCAAAUGUUUACAAGCCGUAUACUUGGUAAAAGUCGUGGCCAUUCUCUAGUCUCAAUAAACCAGGGGCACAAUGCACCGUGGAAAGCUGCAGGGACGUCUGCCCUUGAAAGUAGGGCAUUGUCCAAGGUUUCUCCCGAUGCGAUACUCUGAAAUAUGGCCUUGUGGGAUAAAAAAGACCUGACUGUCCCCUAGCCUGACACCGGUAAAGCGUCUGUGCUGAGGUGGAUUAGUCAAAGAGGAAAGCCUCUUGUAGUUGAGAUGGAGGAAGGCCACUGUCUCCUGCUCGCCCCUGGGAGCUGAAUGUCUCGGUGUAAAAUCCGAUCGUACAUUUGUUCAACUCUGAGCUAGGAGAAAAGCUGCCCUGUGGCGCGAGGCGAGACAUGUUGGCAGUAAUGCUGCCCUGUUAUUCUUUACUCCGCUGAGAUGUUUGGGUGGAGAGAAACAUAAAUCUGGCCUACGUGCACGUCCAGGCAUAGUACCUUCCCUUGAACUUAAUUAUGAUAUAGAUUGCUUUGCUCACAUGUUUUUUUGGUUGACCUUCUCUUUAUUAUCACCCUGCUCUCCUACUACAUUCCUUUUUGCUGAAAUAAUGAAAAUCAUAAUCAAUUAAAAAUGAGGGAACUCAGAGGCCGGUGCCGGUGCAGGUCCUUGGUGUGCUGAGUGCCGGUCCCCUGGACCCACUUUUGUCUCCCUAUACUUUGCCUCUGUGUCUUAUUUCUUUUCUCCGUCUCUCAUCCCACCCGACUAGAAACACCCACAGGUGUGGAGGGGCAGGCGAUCCCUACACUUGGAAAAUC